rnacentral:rRNA from 1 species
GAGUAACACGUGGGUAACCUGCCCUAAAGUGGGGGAUAACAUUUGGAAACAGAUGCUAAUACCGCAUAAAACCUAACACCGCAUGGUGUAGGGUUGAAAGAUGGUUUCGGCCAUCACUUUAGGAUGGACCCGCGGUGCAUUAGUUAGUUGGUGAGGUAAAGGCUCACCUAGACCGUGAUGCAUAGCCGACCUGAGAGGGUAAUCGGCCACACUGGGACUGAGACACGGCCCAGACUCCUACGGGAGGCAGCAGUAGGGAAUCUUCCACAAUGGACGAAAGUCUGAUGGAGCAACGCCGCGUGAGUGAAGAAGGUUUUCGGAUCGUAAAACUCUGUUGUUGGAGAAGAAUGUAUCUGAUAGUAACUGAUCAGGUAGUGACGGUAUCCAACCAGAAAGCCACGGCUAACUACGUG